AUGGAUUUGAUAUUUUGAAAUACAAUGUGGACAACCUGAUCAGAGUUGACAGUUGAACUCUGAGGUAUCCUAUGAGCAUUUUGGUCAAGGGGAUGAAUUAUAUGAAAACUAUAUCUGCAUGGAUUCUAAGGAUGUUGUUCUACACAUUCGACCUAUCCGACCGUCGGGUACCAUUGCUAGAUGGUCACUUCGAUUGAUACAAAAAUUUAUUUUUGUGCUACC
rnacentral:lncRNA from 1 species